GGAAGGAUCAUUAUUGAAUUUAUUCUCUAUCUAUGUGAACCAAAAACUGAGACUCGCUUUUGCGUGACUCUUUAAUUUUUUACUUAUAUAUAAAACUUUUGAUAUACUCUAAAAUAGUAUAAAUACAACUUUUAGCAACGGAUCUCUUGGUUCUCGCAACGAUGAAGAACGCAGCGAAAUGCGAUACGUAAUGUGAAUUGCAACGCCCGUGAAUCAUCUAAUCUUUGAACGCAAAUGGCACUGUCUGGUUCUCCGGACAGUAUAUCUGUUUGAGUAUGGGUUUUAACCUCAACAAAAUUUUUGUUGUAGUUGGUUUUUCUAUGUUUAGGCAUAGUGGAACUUAAAUAUAGAUGACUUGGUCAUGAUGAUAUAUCGGUAUAUAUUCUAUAUCAAUACUUUAUGCACCUUAACUAUUACUUCCAUCUCAAAUCAGAUAAGAUUACCCGCUGAACUUAAGCAUAUUAAUAAGCGGAGGAAAAGAAACUAACAAGGAUUCCCCUAGUAACGGCGAGCGAAGAGGGAAUAGCUCAAAUUUAAAAUCUCUUUGGAGAAUUGUAGUUUAAAGAAGUGUUUUCGACAGUCACAUUCGUUUCAAGUCCUUUGGAACAGGGCAUCGUAGAGGGUGAGAGUCCCGUUUUUGAUCGAAUGUCGAUUGCAAUGUGAUACACUUUCAAAGAGUCGGGUUGUUUGGUAUUGCAGCCCCAAUUGGGUGGUAUAUUUCAUCUAAAGCUAAAUACAGGCGAGAGACCGAUAGCGAACAAGUACCGUGAGGGAAAGAUGAAAAGAACUUUGAAAAGAGAGUUAAAAGUACGUGAAAUUGCUAAAAGGGAAACGAUUGACGUUAGCAUGAUUACGUUGAAAUCAACUGUUUUGGGUAACUGAAACGGUGCACUUUCAACGGAACAUGUCAGCAACAGUUUCGUGAAUUGGACAAAGCCGUAUUAAGGUAGCUACUUCGGUAGUGUUAUAGAAUACGGUCAUACAAUUCAUGAGACUGAGGAAUGCAGUGUAGGCCUUGUGCGGGUUUAUUAGGGUUUGAGUUGUCACGUAUGUUGAACAGCAUGCUGAUCAAUGUACGCUGAUGGUUCAAUACUUUGGUUAAAUUCUUCUACGCUCAGGUUGCUGAUAGAAUAACGUUAAACGACCCGUCUUGAAACACGGACCAAGGAGUCUAACAAAUAUGCGAGUAUUUGAGUUGUAAACUCGAAUGCGUAAUGAAAGUGAAACAAUGGGAUAGUAAUUGCACCAUUGACCGAUCUGGAUUUUUAAUGAUAGAUUUGAGUAUGAGCAUAUAUGUUGGGACCCGAAAGAUGGUGAACUAUGCCUGAAUAGGGUGAAGCCAGAGGAAACUCUGGUGGAAGCUCGUAGCGAUUCUGACGUGCAAAUCGAUCGUCAAAUUUGGGUAUAGGGGCGAAAGACUAAUCGAACCAUCUAGUAGCUGGUUCCCUC
rnacentral:misc_RNA from 1 species